rnacentral:rRNA from 1 species
UGGGGAAUUUUGGACAAUGGGCGCAAGCCUGAUCCAGCCAUGCCGCGUGUCUGAAGAAGGCCUUCGGGUUGUAAAGGACUUUUGUCGGGGAAGAAAAGGCUGUUGCUAAUAUCAGCGGCUGAUGACGGUACCCGAAGAAUAAGCACCGGCUAACUACGUGCCAGCAGCCGCGGUAAUACGUAGGGUGCGAGCGUUAAUCGGAAUUACUGGGCGUAAAGCGGGCGCAGACGGUUACUUAAGCAGGAUGUGAAAUCCCCGGGCUCAACCCGGGAAUUGCGUUCUGAACUGGGUGGCUAGAGUGUGUCAGAGGGAGGUAGAAUUCCACGUGUAGCAGUGAAAUGCGUAGAGAUGUGGAGGAAUACCGAUGGCGAAGGCAGCCUCCUGGGAUAACACUGACGUUCAUGCCCGAAAGCGUGGGUAGCAAACAGGAUUAGAUACCCUGGUAGUCCACGCCCUAAACGAUGUCGAUUAGCUGUUGGGCAGCCUGACUGCUUGGUAGCGAAGCUAACGCGUGAAAUCGACCGCCUGGGGAGUACGGUCGCAAGAUUA